CGGCAGGUCUUGCACGACCAGCUCCUGCAGAACCUCCCCAGGGCCGGAAGGCAGCAAGGAUAUGUGGUUGAGCGGUGCGAUGUAAGUAGCCUGCCUUUU
rnacentral:SRP_RNA from 1 species